AUGUACGGCCAUCCUCGGAGCUUUCAUCCGCCAGCUAUGAUUGAUGUGAUCGGGAUAAGGUGUACUGCUUUUCCUUUUCCAGAAACGCACUGCAAGCUCCGCAGGUUGCGGUUUACCUACGACGAUGUCUUAGAAUUUUCGAACCCUGGUCUCGGCUUGGACAAAACUCUCGGAAUAAUCUGUGUUGGUUGGUUCGAAAUGCAUGAACAGAAUAAUAAUGGAAUCCAGUCCCACUUGCAGCAUAAAAAGCAAGAGAGUUGGAUACUGAUGAAGGAAUUAAUGCUGCUCAUAUCUCUGCCGGAAGCAUUUAUUUUUGAAAGAUCCAGCAUCGCUGACAUUCAUUGA
rnacentral:rRNA from 1 species